rnacentral:rRNA from 1 species
UACGUAGGUGGCAAGCGUUAUCCGGAAUUAUUGGGCGUAAAGCGCGCGCAGGUGGUUUCUUAAGUCUGAUGUGAAAGCCCACGGCUCAACCGUGGAGGGUCAUUGGAAACUGGGAGACUUGAGUGCAGAAGAGGAAAGUGGAAUUCCAUGUGUAGCGGUGAAAUGCGUAGAGAUAUGGAGGAACACCAGUGGCGAAGGCGACUUUCUGGUCUGUAACUGACACUGAGGAGCGAAAGCAUGGGGAGCGAACAGGA